ACUCGGGAAAGCGCUACACAACCAGCUCCCUUCGAAUCCCCCAGGGUUUGAACGCAGCAAGGGUAAGUCGGUCGUAGCGGUGUGAUGUAGAAGGUUUUCCCACU
rnacentral:SRP_RNA from 1 species